UUUUAUCAGGCCACGAAUCAAAACAAACACUCGUUUGGAAGGAAGAUACAAACCGUACUUAAAAGCAGCUCAAAACAAAAAGAACUUUAUAGACUCAGAUUGUGUCGGACGGUACUUGCAAAAAAUAGCGUGCAUUGGAAAUGUGGACCCGUAUGAAAAAACGGCAGUGGAGCAGAAACCCCGAAGCCUGAUAUAUUUCCGUACCUGUGGAGUUAGCGCAUACACAGCGAACCAGUUUCGCAAUUACAAAUGUCUGGAGGCGCACAUCCGAUUAACCAAUGGUUGGUUACAAGAUUUGGCUAUUUUUAGACUCCACGUUGUGAAUACGUCGUCAUUCAAACAAAGGGGUUGGAACUAGCUAUUAAAAUGGUCAUCACCAGACCAAGGCUCAAUUGAGUCAUGGAAGGAGAAAUCAGAUGACUUUCACAGUGCCUCAUUCUACCCUCAUAUUAUUAUGUGAGGCAUUUAACAGAAAUAAACUGCACAACGACGUGGCUGGUGACCCACUUCACCUCUCCUUGCUAAACACUGGAGAAUCAUGCAAAGACUUUGAUGUAACAGAUUGACCUCUAACAGCAACCAUGGGCAUCAGUGAUGAGAAAACCUGUGUUGAGACAGCACUGGCUGGACCCCACAGAGUGUGUGCAUGUUUGCAGUGAGGAUGAACUCUUCCACCUUGAAAGCACAGAUGACAUGGCAAAUAAGAUUGAGACAGCAACAGGAGAACAGGCAGCCGACCAGGAUUAGCAUCAGCUCCACAGGCCAAGAUUACAUCUUCAUGUUUAAGAGGUUUGUUAUAUGAGGGGUGAAACUGUGAAGAGAGAAUCCUCAAAGGAACGAGACAGACUGCAGACGUGAGCACAGGGACAGACAUGGAGUUUAACGCAGCUGGAGAAAACCGCAAAUUGAAAAACUUUAACUAUAGACCUCAUGGCCUCGUUGUCCACCCUGACGCUCCCUGGCUUGGUUCCUCACCAGAUGGGUUGAUCUUUGAUCCAUCUGCACAGCCACCGUUUGGACUGCUUGAGAUAAAGUGUCUUUAUGUGAGGAAUUAUGUUCACUUCAGAUACCUUCAACUAGAGAUGGACCGAUCCGAUAUUACGUAUCGGUAUCGGUCCGAUACUGACGUAAAUUGCUGGAUCGGAUAUCGGUGAGAAAUAAAAAAUGUAAUCCGAUCCAUUAAAUAUCAAAAAAGCACCUCACAAAACUUGCGACACCGCGUAACUCGGCUCAUAACCGUAGCACGUCGGAGCAGUGUGCUCACAUUGAGCGGCUGUGUGUAUUUGUAGCCUCGCUAGCAAACCAGCAUUUCAUCUCCGAGGAAGUGAUCCCAGAGAGAAGUAAAGCAAGUGUGUAAGUUCAUCUCUGAAUGUUUGUAAAGCGUACCUACGUUAAGCUUAACAACCGAUAUAUGGAGCAACUGCCUCUUCUCUCUCCCUCCCUCUCCUGCCGCUACUUCAUGAAACUGCUUAAUGAUCAGCUGAUCGGCUUUUCUGUCGCGAGUCCGUCUCUCUUCUUUGUUUUUGGCUUUGCACCAGAAAGAGGAAACCAGCGGCUGAACAACAGCAGCACGUUUAACCUUGAUAAGCUGUCGUUAGAAUUUAUUUAAUAUUACUUUCUAGACCAGGAUCCUUUUCUACGUAGCUGACGGCUGGUAACUGCGCAGGGGCGGAUCUAGCAAAGUUUAGCCAGG
ensembl:lncRNA